GAUGAACGCUAGCUACAGGCUUAACACAUGCAAGUCGAGGGACGGGCGCACGGGUGAGUAACACGUAUCCAACCUGCCCUUUACUCGGGGAUAGCCUUUCGAAAGAAAGAUUAAUACCCGUUGUAAAGGAUGGGGAUGCGUUCCAUUAGGUUGUUGGUGAGGUAACGGCACACCAAGCCUUCGAUGGAUAGGGGUUCUGAGAGGAAGGGACACCACAUUGGAACCGAGACCCAGUCCAAACUCCUAGGGGGUGCAGGAGUGACGAAUGUUGGGCAAGGGGCGCUAGCCUGAACCAGCCGAGUAGGGUGAAGAAUGAAGGCUUAUGGGACGUAAACUUCUUGUAUAUAAGAAUAUGUAUUAAAUGAAUAAGGAUCGGCUAACUCCGUGCCAGCAGCCGCGGUAAUAC
rnacentral:rRNA from 1 species